UAGGGAAUUUUCCGCAAUGGGCGCAAGCCUGACGGAGCGACGCCGCGUGGGUGAAGACGGCCUUCGGGUUGUAAAGCCCUGUUCAUCGGGAAGAAGAAAUGACGGUACCGGUGAAGAAAGCCCCGGCUAACUACGUGCCAGCAGCCGCGGUAAUACGUAGGGGGCGAGCGUUGUCCGGGAUGAUUGGGCGUAAAGGGCGUGUAGGCGGAUACAUAAGUCGGGCGUGAAAGGCGCGGGCUCAACCCGUGUAAGCGUUCGAAACGGUGUAUCUUGAGUGCAGUAGAGGAAAGCGGAAUUUCUGGUGUAGCGGUGGAAUGCGUAGAUAUCAGAAGGAACACCGGUGGCGAAGGCGGCUUUCUGGACUGUUACUGACGCUGAGGCGCGAAGGCGUGGGGAGCAAACAGGAUUAGAUACCCCUGUAGUCC
rnacentral:rRNA from 1 species